GGUAAGGCAGUGCAAUCAGGACAGGUAGCACCAAGUGCCACAGCGAUCUCUUAGCUGAUGCCUCUUCUGGCCAUGGGGACCAUCUCUGCUGUGGUUGAAGAUGAGAACACAGCUCAGAGUUCUGCAAAGUGUCAAAGCCAUGCUGAGUCCAGAAUAAGGAGACCAGAGGCAGAUAUGCAGCAUGUUUGCAGGACAUGGGUGCAGGAUAAGGCGGCUUCUGUAAGCUCCUGCAGGAAACCUGAGCCUUGGGAAAAGAUUAUCCAGCCUUCAAAGUCU
ensembl:lncRNA